AGACAUCUGUUCCUUUGACGUGAUAUCUCACAACACGUUAGAUUUCAGUAUGUCUUAGAUCAAUUGGACUGCUUCACCCAGAAUUGUUAGUUAAUGUUCACACUGUCUGGCUUUUGCGGGUUCAUACAAAU
rnacentral:snoRNA from 1 species